ACCUCCAUCUAUUCCCUCGGUGUACAUUUACACUAAGUAGUCCUCACCAUCCACGCAUUUUGUCCACUCUUCUUUACGGUCAUCGUAUCCUCUCAGUGCUACAACUCUAUUGAAAUCACUUUUGCUCUCGACUAGAAACCUCUCAUAUAGUGCUUCCUUAAAGAUCUUGGGACCAAUAGAACUCUCCCACAAAAUUGGCUCACCCUUCAUCCCCCUUUUCCUUUUUCACCACGACAACCCUUUCCUCUAGACGACCCUUCAGACAUUUCUACACUAAUGAAACUGAAGACUCUUUUGAAGUGAGUAGCAAGACCUCCACCACUGCGUAUAUAUAGCGAGCCC
rnacentral:lncRNA from 1 species